AUGGACCAGCCCGGCAAGGGAUACGUGACCGGGACGUCGGUGCCCCCGAAGCGGCCAGCACGGCGGACUAAGACGCGUCACCCGGUGUACCGCGGCGUGCGGCGCCGCGCGGGGCGGUGGGUGAGCGAGGUGCGCGAGCCCACCAAGAAGUCGCGCAUCUGGCUCGGCACCUUCGCCACCCCGGAGGCCGCCGCGCGCGCCCACGACGUGGCGGCCCUCGCCCUGCGCGGCCGCGAUGCCUACCUCAACUUCGCCGACUCCGCGUCCCUGCUCGUCGUCGACCCGGCCACGCUCUGCACGCCCGAGGAC
rnacentral:rRNA from 1 species